GACAGAGUGGUCUGGCUGGAAGACAUCUGACUGUAAAUCAGAAGACCUGGGUCCCCCGCCGUGUUU
rnacentral:tRNA from 1 species